rnacentral:tRNA from 1 species
GGAGAUGUAGUUCAGUGGUAGAGCACUUGCCUAGUAUACAAUGAAGUCCUGGGUUCAAUCCCUAGCACCACAA